AACGAACGCUGGCGGCAGGCCUAACACAUGCAAGUCGAACGAAGUAGUCGGACAUAGUGGCAGACGGGUGAGUAACGCGUGGGAACGUGCCUUUAGGUUCGGAAUAACUCAGGGAAACUUGAGCUAAUACCGAAUAUGCCCUUCGGGGGAAAGAUUUAUUGCCGAAAGAUCGGCCCGCGUCCGAUUAGCUAGUUGGUGUGGUAAUGGCGCACCAAGGCGACGAUCAGUAGCUGGUCUGAGAGGAUGAUCAGCCACACUGGGACUGAGACACGGCCCAGACUCCUACGGGAGGCAGCAGUGGGGAAUAUUGGACAAUGGGCGAAAGCCUGAUCCAGCCAUGCCGCGUGAGUGAUGAAGGCCCUAGGGUUGUAAAGCUCUUUCGCCAGGGACGAUAAUGACGGUACCUGGAGAAGAAGCCCCGGCUAACUUCGUGCCAGCCGCCGCCGUAACAC
rnacentral:rRNA from 1 species